UACGUAGGGGGCGAGCGUUUGUCCGGAAUUACUGGGCGUAAAGGGCGCGCAGGCGGCCGUGUAAGUCCGCUGUGAAAGACCGGGGCUCAACCCCGGGGUGUCAGCGGGGACUGCACGGCUGGAGUCCCGGAGAGGGAGGCGGAAUACCUGGUGUAGCGGUGGAAUGCGUAGAGAUCAGGUGGAACACCGAUGGCGAAGGCAGCUCGCUGGGACGUUACUGACACUGAGGAGCGAAAGGCGUGGGGAGCGAACAGG
rnacentral:rRNA from 1 species